UCUUACUUCUACUUCAUGUUUGAAGGAAAAUUUUGCAGGCUAUGUAAUUCUAGGUUGGAGAUUUUUUUUAUACUUAUUUCACUCCAUUCACUUCAUGAUGGAAUAAUUCCAAAGAGAAGUAUAAAGUAAUCAUUAUCCUUGUUCCUCUAUAAAUAGGUGUUUUGUUGUUCUUUGGAUUCUUUCAAGGUUUUCUCUUUGUUUUCUGAAGUUAAGAGUGUAUUAUGUGUAGAUAUAGAUUUUUUGGUAUUUAUUCUGCUUAGUAUUCUCUGAGCUUCCUGGGCUUGUGUUUUGCUGUCAAUAAUUUUGGAAACUUCAGCCAUUAUUACUCCAAAUAUUUCUUGUUUCUUUCUCAUCUCCAUUUACUAUUCCCAUUACACACAUGUGCUUUGAAAUGUACUCAUUACUUAAAUAUUCUGUUCCUUUCUUUUCCAAUCUGGUCUUUUUUCUUUUUCCGUUGGAAAGUUUCUAUUGACAUAUCUUCAAAAUUACUAAUUCUUAACUCAGCUGUGUCCAGUCUACUGAUG
rnacentral:lncRNA from 1 species